GUGCUAGCUUUGGCAGCACAUAUACUAAAAUUGGAAUGAUACAGAGAAGAUUAGCAUGGCCACUGUGCAAGGAUGACACGCAAAAAACGAAGAAAAAGAUAUGUUAUU